AGGAUGAACGCUGGCGGCGUGCUUAAUACAUGCAAGUCGAGCGGUAAGGCCCCUUCGGGGGUACACGAGCGGCGGACGGCUGAGUAACGCGUGGGAACGUACCCCGAAGUGAGGGAUAAGCACCAGAAAUGGUGUCUAAUACCGCAUGUGCUCUAAGGAGUAAAGCUCCGGCGCUUCGGGAACGGCCUGCGUCCGAUUAGCUUGUUGGUGAGGUAAUGGCUUACCAAGGCGACGAUCGGUAGCUGGUCUGAGAGGAUGACCAGCCAGACUGGGACUGAGAACGGCCCAGACUCCUACGGGAGGCAGCAGUAGGGAAUUUUCCACAAUGGACGAAAGUCUGAUGGAGCAACGCCGCGUGCAGGAUGAAGGCCUUAGGGUCGUAAACGUGCUUUUAUGUAUGAAGAUUAUGACGGUAGUACAUGAAUAAGGAUCGGCUAACUCCGUGCCAGCAGCCGCGGUAAU
rnacentral:rRNA from 1 species